rnacentral:rRNA from 1 species
GGGUUAAGUCCCGCAACGAGCGCAACCCUUAUCAUUAGUUGCUAACGGCAAGGGCACUCUAAUGAGACUGCCGGUGACAAACCGGAGGAAGGUGGGGAUGACGUCAAGUCCUCAUGGCCCUUAUGGUAGGGCUUCACACGUCAUACAAUGGUCGGUAACAGAGGGUUGCCAAGCCGCGAGGCGGAGCCAAUCCCACAAAGCCGAUCGUAGUCCGGAUUGUUCUCUGCAACUCGAGAGCAUGAAGUCGGAAUCGCUAGUAAUCGCAGGUCAGCAUACUGCGGUGAAUACGUUCCCGGGUCUU